rnacentral:snRNA from 1 species
UAACUUACCUGGACGGGGUCAAUGGAUGAUCAAGAAGGUCCAUGGCCUAGGUCGGUGACCUCCAUUGCACUUAGGAGGGCUGCCCGCCUAAGGUCGGCCCAAGUGGUCGAGCCUACGUCAUAAUUUGUAGCU